ACCACUGGCUUCCUUGUUCAACUUGCAGACAGCCUAUUGUGAACUUUACCUUGUGAUCAUGUGAGUUAGUUCCCUUUAAUGAACUCACUCUCAUAUACGUAUAUUCUAUUAGUUCUCUCCUUGUAGAGAAUCCUAAUACAGCCUCUCAUCCUAUGUCCAAGUCAAUUUGACCUGCCCAAAGCUUGUUUGGAGGCCACGUAAAAUUCUAGCUUCUCUAACCAUUUUUCCAAGUCACCCCGUUUUCUUCCCCCUCUGGUCACAAUCUUGUGAUUGUUUCAGCCACCCUCACCCACUAAUCCUUCAGCUAUCCAUCUCCAGGGUUUGAUAAUGUAUUUAAUUUUAGGACCUAGAGAACAUUCUCUUGAAUUUGGAUCUGCAGAUUUGAGAUACUAGUAUCUAGGCAGGUCAUAAUAACCCACAAUUUCCUAAUGAUCUAGUGCCAGCUAAUUCUGUAAAGACCUCAAAGACACGGGACCAGCAUAACAACUUUUUAACAGACAUCCAGAUUAGCUGGUCUUUUCAAAAAAAAAAAAAAAAAAAAGAUACUUAGAGUGAUAAAAGCUGAUGGUGUAGAGUGAGUCCCUAGUGUCACUCAAAAAGGUUUUCAGAUUAUACAAAAACAAGCAAGCUCCUGGAGCCAGGGUGUUACCUUCAUUCCAAGGUGGCCUGAGAAGUCUUACAACAACCUUUGCGUUUACUUCCAGAGAUCCAGAGAAGAAUUAGAACAGUUACUGUUUUUUUUUUUUUUUUUUUUUUUUUGGUAAGGAAGCUCUCCCAUUUUUCUCCUCUCCUUGACUCAUUAUUAGGCAGUCACCAGCUCAGUGGCAGGUAGACAUCUCAAAGUCCCUCAGUCUUCACCCUUGGGGUCUGAGAUGGUUUGGCUGGGUGUCCCCACCCAGAUCUCAACUUGUAGCUCCCAUAAUUCCCACAUGUUGUGCGAGGGACCCCAAGGGAGAUGAUUGAAUCAUGGGGACAUGUCUUUCCCAUGCUGUUCUCAUGAUAGUGAAUGGGUCUCAGGAUCUGAUGGUUUUAAGAACAGGAGUCUCCCUGCACAGGCUCUUUGCCUCCUGCCAUCCAUGUAAGAUGUAAACUUGCUCCUCUUCUUGCCUUCUGCCAUGAUUGUGAGGCAUCCCCCAGCCAUGUGGAACUGUAAGUCCAAUUAAAACUUUCUUUUGUAAAUUGACCAGUCUCAGGUACGUCUAUCUGCAGCAUGAAAAUGGACUAAUAUAGGGUCUAUUAUCAUUUAUGGCAAAGUGAAUGUUUAACCUUCUUGAGAGUUAUCUAGCUUUUAAGAUUAUCGAAUGGAUCAGGCAUUCACUUCACUCUAGCUUUACUACUUCACAUUUGUAUUAAUUUUAGACGUUUGAAGAGAUUUUUGGACAUUCAAAAUGCAACUGCCACAUAUUUCCAAGUGAUUUAAUAGACUUUCAAUGGUGCUACAGAUCCCUGCAUGAUUUACCUGGAGA
rnacentral:lncRNA from 1 species